UGACAGCAUUAACAUUAACAUUUUAAAUUGUGUUCAAGUGAGUUGUAAAAAGAGUAAAAUAUUUACAAGGGAAUAUACAACGAUAUAAAUAUAAACACUUAAAUAUAAGGUGUUAGGCUAUUAAAACGUGUAUAUCAAUAAAAAUUGAGAUGAUUAUGAACAUUUGUUAAAUACAAGGGCAAGCAUUUGCAAUUGGAUAUGGAUGUACGCAUUCACAUAUAUCUCAGCGAGUUGGCUUAUUAGAGGAAAUGGAAAGUGCCGCUUGUUGAAUUUGAAUUAGCAUUGGGCAAACAGUUUGCACAGCUUGGACAGUAUGCACAAUUCAUAGAUAUACGCGUGUAUCUGUGUGAAUAUUAUAUGCUAAUUGGCAUGCAUCUGUGGAGCAGCAGCCUUCAAAAAUUUUGGUAUCGCCGGAUGGGUCCCGGUGUCGGGCAAAUGGCGUGUGACGUGGUGAACAGAGCGCUAAACGAGCCCCAAUACAAAGGCAAAUACAAAUACAAAGACAAGUCCAAACACAGACAGAGACACAGACACAAACACAGGCGCAUAUACGGAACAGACUUGAACAUAAUAUAUAUAAAACAGUUGGCAUAUAAACGUUUCUAAGCGUAGACAAACAUGACGUAAACCUCCAAAA